rnacentral:rRNA from 1 species
UACAGAGGUCUCAAGCGUUGUUCGGAUUCAUUGGGCGUAAAGGGUGCGUAGGUGGCGGGGCAAGUCAGGUGUGAAAUCUCGGGGCUCAACCCCGAAACUGCACUUGAUACUGCCUUGCUCGAGUACUGGAGAGGAGACUGGAAUUUACGGUGUAGCAGUGAAAUGCGUAGAUAUCGUAAGGAAGACCAGUGGCGAAGGCGAGUCUCUGGACAGUUACUGACGCUGAGGCGCGACAGCGUGGGGAGCAAACAGG